CUUGGUCAUUUAGAGGAAGUAAAAGUCGUAACAAGGUUUCCGUAGGUGAACCUGCGGAAGGAUCAUUAGUGAAUUGAAUAUGUUAGCGGACCUCUUCGGAGUCCCUAGCAUCAAAUCAUAUCCAUAACACCUGUGAACUGUAAGGCUGUCUUGAAAACGAAAGUGAUUAGAGCGCCUGCCCAUUUUAUACAAACAUUAAAGUAACAAACGUAGUCUUAUUAUAAUCUAAUAAAACUUUCAACAACGGAUCUCUUGGCUCUCGCAUCGAUGAAGAACGCAGCGAAAUGCGAUAAGUAAUGUGAAUUGCAGAAUUCAGUGAAUCAUCGAAUCUUUGAACGCACCUUGCGCUCUUUGGUAUUCCGAAGAGCAUGCCUGUUUGAGUGUCAUGAAAAUAUCAACCUUGACUUGGGUUUAGUGCUCUUGUCUUGGCUUGGAUUUGGCUGUUUGCCGCUCGGAAGAGUCGGCUCAGCUUAAAAGUAUUAGCUGGAUCUGUCUUUGAGACUUGGUUUGACUUGGCGUAAUAAGUUAUUUCGCUGAGGACAAUCUUCGGAUUGGCCGAGUUUCUGGGACGUUUGUCCGCUUUCUAAUACAAGUUCUAGCUUGCUAGACAUGACUUUUUUAUUAUCUGGCCUCAAAUCAGGUAGGACUACCCGCUGAACUUAAGCAUAUCAAUAAGCGGAGGA
rnacentral:rRNA from 1 species